GAUGAACGCUGGCGGCGUGCCUAAUACAUGCAAGUCGAGCGAACAGACGAGGAGCUUGCUCCUCUGACGUUAGCGGCGGACGGGUGAGUAACACGUGGAUAACCUACCUAUCAGACUGGGAUAACUUCGGGAAACCGGAGCUAAUACCGGAUGAUAUAUUGAACCGCAUGGUUCCAUAGUGAAAGACGGUUUUGCUUUCACUUAUAGAUGGAUCCGCGCCGCAUUAGCUAGUUGGUAAGGUAACGGCUUACCAAGGCGACGAGGCGUAGCCGACCUGAGAGGGUGAUCGGCCAGCCUGGAAGUGAGAAACGGCCCAGACUCCGACGGGAGGCAGCAGUAGGGAAUCUUCCGCAAUGGGCGAAAGCGUGACGGAGCAACGCCGCGUGAGGGAUGAAGGUCUUCGGAUCGGAAAACUCUGUUAUUAGGGAAGAACAAAUGUGUAAGUAACUAUGCACGUCUUGACGGUACCUAGUCAGAAAGCCACGGCUAACUACGUG
rnacentral:rRNA from 1 species